CUUUUAGAAAAUUAAAUUAAAAGUCGAGCCUGCCCACUGAAAUUAAUUAAAGGGCCGCAGUAUUUUGACUGUGCAAAGGUAGCAUAAUCAUUAGUUUCUUAAUUGGAAUCUGGAAUGAAUGGUUUGACGAAAUAGAUUCUGUCUACUGAUUAAAUUAUUGAAUUUUAUUUUUAAGUUAAAAAGCUUAAAUGAAUUUUGGGGACGAGAAGACCCUAUAGAUCUUGAUAUUAAAUUUAAUAUAUUAAUUAUAUAAAUUAUAUUAAAUGAAUAUUAUGUUGGGGUGACAUAGGAAUAAAUUAACUUCUUAAUAAAUUUAAACUAAAAUAAUUGGAUUAAUAAUCCUGUAAUAUGGAAUUAAGAUGAAGAUACCUUAGGGAUAACAGCGUAAUUUUAUUAGAAAGUUCAUAUUAAUAAUGAAGUUUGCGACCUCGAUGUUGGAUUAAGAUUAUUACUUGGUGCAGUCGUUAAGUAAAUAAGUCUGUUC
rnacentral:rRNA from 1 species